GGGGCAGACAUGCCCAGGAGAAAGCUGAGGGUGCGCCACAGUCUCCUCUCACCUGUUCACGCUUAACUUGAAAACCGCUGUGAGCAGCAGGAUGCGUCAGCCCAGAGAGGUGCUGAACAGGCGCAGGCUCCUCCGCUUAGGCCUCCACUGAGGGGCGUUGGCUGUGCGCACCAGGCACUGGAAGACCUUGGAAAUGUCAGAAACACUAAGCGAGAACCAGCCUUCGCUCUACAAGGAGUUGUUUGGCAUUUGCCUUGAAUUCCGCUACAUUUACAGAUAGCACUGAGGACAGUUGUGAACUACGCUGUCUCCAUCGUUCGCACAAAGGUUGCAGUUCAGAUCCGGAGGAAAUGUGUGUAAUAAAACACUUUGACAAAACGUUCCCUUCUCUUUGUAUGGGAUAGCAGAAAAACACAGCCUUUUGUUGCUUAUGACAACAUACAGGCUGUGGCAAAAGUAGGUUUAUAGGUGUUCGUAUGAAAAAGCCAGAGUCUCCAGUAACAUUCAGCCCCGGGCCCUCGAACUGAGAAGGCUCUUGAUAGGUGUGUGAAGGGGAGGCUGGAGGUGGCCUGUUAGAUCCUGUACAUUCCACAGAUAAGGCCGGCCCCGACCGGCUCCGGAGAGAACCUGAGCCCGCCCGCCCUGCCUCCCUGUUCACUGGGGGUUUGCGCAACCCCAGAUAGGGGUGCUGGCAGCGAGUACGGAGCCGGAAGCUGAGUGAGGUCAGCCAUGUAGGUGUUCCAUGCCCUUGACACUGACCCCGAUAAAACCUGCACAGGAAGUCUUAGGGGAGUUUCUCUGGUCCACAAGUGUCCACGUGUGCUGCCCACGCGCUCCCAGGACAGCUGGCAGCUGGCGUCAUGUCUCCUGGCUCUCCCCUCGGUGCCUGCCACAUUGGCGGGUUUUAAACUGUUUUUUGCAAUAAUAAAUUGUGACCAUUUUUCUGAGUCCUGUGUGUCACUGAAUCCCAACACAACAUGGUUAAAUGGUUAUGUUUAAAAGUGCAGUAGAGACCCAUAGGUGUCCUUCGAAGCCUAAUGAUUGGCCAUCUGGCUAAACUACAGAAAAAGUUGACCAACUAACACAGAAAUGUAGCAGAUAAAGCCCCUUUUUAAUGUCAUACAUUGAAAUCGUAACAGUUAAAAUGGAUGAGUAUCCAUAUAAAUAAAUCUCAAACUGUUUUAAAUGAAAAAAGUAACACAAGGAUAAUACUGCUUCUGUGCAUUUGUGAAACAAAGAUCCCAUCAAGAGGAUAUCCCCAAACCUCAGGAGAGUGGUGAGUUGGGUUGGAGGUGUUGGGGGGUGGGGCGUGGAACGGGUGGUAAGACUAUUUGUCCCAUUGUCAUUCUUAAAAAGUUUUGAGUGGGGGGAGGAAAUCAGACUUGUAAAGUAAAUAACAUUGGUUUUAUUUUACUAAUGUCUUUCAUUUACUUCCUUAAAUCAGCCAGCUCAGAAUUAUAAAUGAUUGUGCUAAAGGCCUCACUGCUUCAAACUGCUCAUGUUCUGAGUUCAGAAACUGGCCUUGGUCGGUGACCUGCCCAGGGUCGUGCUGGGCCUGUGGGUGAGAGGCCCCGUUGUAGACAGUGUCAGUGCUGGCCGAUCCGCCCUCCCCCGCCCGCUGUGCAAACUCAGAAGCUGAUUCUGGAAACAACUAAUGGCUGUGCUUAGGACCUGUCCAGUUAUCUCAGUUUUGUGAAUCUGCAAAUUGAAGGCCAUCGAGAGAGUGGGGAGUCGGAAAGGAAGGGAAGCUUUCCGAGAACAGAAAAGCAUUGCUUCUCCGCGGUUAGUGGCCGCCUGCGUGCCGCUCGUUCGCUGCAGGUGUGCACGGGAAGCAAUACGCUGAGCUUGUCUUCGGGAAAAUCCUCUGCUCUUCGUAGCAGUUAUAGAGGCCAUCCAGGUUUAGUGUCCACUCUCAUCUGGAAAUGUUAAAGGUGUGAAAUAUAAGUAGUGUUAGGGUCUUAAGUGAUUAAAGUGUGGGGUUUUUUUUUAAAUGAUUUGUAAACCAUUAGGGUAGAAGUACUAGACCUACACUGAAUUCAUAAUUCUGGUAUAAAAUUUAACGACACGUUUUCUAUCUACAUUCCGGAGUCACUGGGAGAGUGAAAUGAGAUAAUAAACUUU